rnacentral:rRNA from 1 species
UACGUAGGGUGCAAGCGUUAAUCGGAAUUACUGGGCGUAAAGCGUGCGCAGGCGGUUGUGCAAGACAGAUGUGAAAUCCCCGGGCUCAACCUGGGAACUGCAUUUGUGACUGCACGGCUAGAGUGUGUCAGAGGGGGUAGAAUUCCACGUGUAGCAGUGAAAUGCGUAGAGAUGUGGAGGAACACCGGAUGGACGAAGGCAGCCCCCUGGGCUAACACAUGACGCUCGAUGGCACGAAAGCGUGGGGAGCAAACAGG